GCAGACCAUCUGAUCAGAGAGAU
rnacentral:miRNA from 1 species